rnacentral:lncRNA from 1 species
AAGAAGUGGAGGAUGGGUGGGCCCAGAUUUCAAAAGGCCUAUGUUCUUGGGAGGAAAAGAAAACCGAUUGAGUAGCUGCUACCUAUAAUUGUUUGGUGCAUCUAAUGCACAGGUCAUCAUAAUACACAUUAACUGGAAUGUUGUUGUUAUGUGAGAUAUCUAUCCAAGACCGUAAACUUCAUGCAGGAGAUUAAGUACUACUUUGAAUUUGGUGAAAACUUCGUAGCAGAGUGCUCGGAAAUGGAA